UACGUAGGGGGGCAAGCGUUGUCCGGAAUCAUUGGGCGUAAAGCGCGUGUAGGCGGUUCGAUAAGUCUGCUGUGAAAGUCCAGGGCUCAACCCCUGGGAUGCCGGUGGAUACUGUCGAGCUAGAGUACGGAAGAGGCGAGUGGAAUUCCCGGUGUAGCGGUGAAAUGCGUAGAUAUCUGGAGGAAUACCGGUGGCGAAGGCGGCAUCCUGGACCGGCAUUGACGCUGAUGAGCGAAAGCUAGGGGAGCAAACGGG
rnacentral:rRNA from 1 species